ensembl:lncRNA
GUAUCUCUUGUUUCUUCUCUAACAGCUGCAAAUGUUCACAGAAGGUUUAUAUGGAAAAUAUUUAACAAGAAGAAAACCUUUCUUUUGCUUGUCCUUCUCAGAAAAUUGCUUAAUUUUUGUCUGCACUUCCACAUGUUCAUAGCUUACUGUGCACUGAAAAUGAAGAAUUCCCAUGAGUUCCUCUACACUUAAGUGAAAUUAAAAAGAAGUGAUAGAGGAUGGUCCAAUACCAGUAAGGUAAGGGAGUGUGUACAAUAUUUUGUUGAAUUAAAUUCCCAUAUGCAAUAAUAAUAAAAUGAUAGGUAUUUAGGCUGUUAUUUCA